rnacentral:rRNA from 1 species
UUAUGUUACGACUUAUCUUACCUUAAUAAUAAGAGCGACGGGCGAUGUGUGCAUAUUUUAGAGCUAAAAUCAAACCUUUAAUCUUUAAAAUUUUACUAUCAAAUCCACUUUCACUAAACAUUGAAAAUUUAGAUUCAUUUAAAUAAAUUUAUUGUAACCCAUUUCUACUUAAAUAUAAGCUACACCUUGAUCUGAUAUAAAUUUUAAUAAAAAUUACAGAAAAUUAUUAUUCUAAUAAAAUAUUCUGAUAACGACGGUAUAUAAACUGAAAAACAAAUUUAAGUGAGGUACAUCGUGGAUUAUCAAUUACAGAACAGGUUCCUCUGAAUAGACUAAAAUACCGCCAAAUUUUUUAAGUUUCAAGAACAUAACUAUUACUACCUUAAUGUUUUAAAUUACAUUUUAAAUAAUAGGGUAUCUAAUCCUAGUUUA